rnacentral:rRNA from 1 species
UGGGGAAUAUUGCACAAUGGAGGGAACUCUGAUGCAGCGACGCCGCGUGAACGAAGAAGGCUUUCGAGUCGUAAAGUUCUUUUAUAUGGGAAGAUAAUGACGGUACCAUAAGAAAAAGCCCCGGCUAACUACGUGCCAGCAGCCGCGGUAAUACGUAGGGGGCUAGCGUUGUCCGGAAUCACUGGGCGUAAAGGGUUCGCAGGCGGAAAUGCAAGCCAGGUGUAAAAGGCAGUAGCUUAACUACUGUAAGCAUUUGAAACUGCAUAUCUUGAGAAGAGUAGAGGUAAGUGGAAUUUUUAGUGUAGCGGUGAAAUGCGUAGAUAUUAAAAAGAAUACCGGUGGCGAAGGCGACUUACUGGGCUCAUUCUGACGCUGAGGAACGAAAGCAUGGGUAGCAAACAGG